AGCUCGAUAGUAUAAGGGUAGUACAACAGAUUUUGGUUCUGUCUGUCUAGGUUCGAAUCCUGGUCGAGCUA
rnacentral:tRNA from 3 species